CCUACGGGAGGCAGCAGUGGGGAAUAUUGGACAAUGGGCGCAAGCCUGAUCCAGCAAUGCCGCGUGUGUGAAGAAGGCCUUCGGGUUGUAAAGCACUUUUAUCAGGAACGAAAAGCGACGGACUAAUACUCUGUCGUGCUGACGGUACCUGAGGAAUAAGCACCGGCUAACUUCGUGCCAGCAGCCGCGGUAAUACGAAGGGUGCAAGCGUUAAUCGGAAUUACUGGGCGUAAAGCGUGCGUAGAUGGUGCGUUAAGUCGGAUGUGAAAGCCCCGGGCUCAACCUGGGAACUGCAUCCGAUACUGGCGGACUAGAGUGUGAUAGAGGAUGGCGGAAUUCCCGGUGUAGCGGUGAAAUGCGUAGAGAUCGGGAGGAACAUCCGUGGCGAAGGCGGCCAUCUGGAUCAACACUGACGUCGAGGCACGAAAGCGUGGGGAGCAAACAGGAUUAGAUACCCUGGUAGUCCACGCCCUAAACGAUGUCGACUGGAUGUUGGGUGCAACUUGGCACUCAGUAUCGAAGCUAACGCGUUAAGUCGACCGCCUGGGGAGUACGCGCGCAAGCGUGAAACUCAAAUGAAUUGACGG
rnacentral:rRNA from 1 species